GUGUCGGUUGCGGCGACGUGGGCGGUUCGCUGCCCGCGACGUUGUGAGAAGUCCACUGAACCUUAUCAUUUAGAGGAAGGAGAAGUCGUAACAAGGUUUCCGUAGGUGAACCUGCGGAAGGAUCAUUG
rnacentral:rRNA from 1 species